rnacentral:misc_RNA from 1 species
UCCGGUUUAUCACCGGCAGUCCCCUAUGAGUCCCCGGCAUUACCCGCUGGUAACAUAGGGCGAGGGUUGCGCUCGUUGCGGGACUUAACCCAACAUCUCACGACACGAGCUGACGACAGCCAUGCACCACCUGUGCAGGCUCCGUAGAGUACCGGCUUUCGCCGGCUUCACCCUGCAUGUCAAGCCCUGGUAAGGUUCUUCGCGUUGCGUCGAAUUAAGCCACAUGCUCCGCCGCUUGUGCGGGUCCCCGUCAAUUCCUUUGAGUUUUAGCCUUGCGGCCGUACUCCCCAGGCGGGGUGCUUAAUGCGUUUGCGACGGCACGGAGGGGGUUGAUGCCCCCCACACCUAGCACCCAACGUUUACGGCUGGGACUAC